rnacentral:ncRNA from 1 species
CUAGUCAGGUGGUAAUAAUCUGCUGUAUUAAAUAGUGAGGUUAUUCCUGGCGACAUCCUCAAAUUGCGGGGAAGCCCUACAACAAAAGCAAUGACUACUAAGCGCGCCUUGAAAAAGAGCGCGUGGCGGAGCGUAACGGCUCCGGUACAGUAAGAACGUGAUUGCCUGGGGUCAUCCGCAGCCAAGCUCCUUAUAGGGAUAUAUGAGAGAAGGUUCAGAGACUUGACGGGGAUGGGUGAACUCGCAACCAGGUUCGCUUAAGAUAAAGUCCAUUAAAGGCACGAAAGUGUCCU